AACGAAUGCUGGCGGCAGGCCUUACACAUGCAAGUCGAACGUGAAAGUCCUUCGGGAUGAGUAAAGUGGCGCACGGGUGAGUAACGCGUGGGAACAUGCCCUUCAGUACGGGAUAACAGCGGGAAACUGCUGCUAAUACCGUAUAUUCCCUACGGGGGAAAGAUUUAUCGCUGAAGGAUUGGCCCGCGUUAGAUUAGCUGGUUGGUGAGGUAAUGGCUCACCAAGGCUACGAUCUAUAGCCGGUCUGAGAGGACGAUCGGCCACACUGGAACUGAGACACGGUCCAGACUCCUACGGGAGGCAGCAGUGGGGAAUAUUGGACAAUGGGCGAAAGCCUGAUCCAGCCAUGCCGCGUGAGUGAUGAAGGCCUUAGGGUUGUAAAGCUCUUUUGGCGGGGAAGAUAAUGACGGUACCCGCAGAAUAAGCCCCGGCUAACUUCGUGCCAGCCGCUGCGGUAA
rnacentral:rRNA from 1 species